GCGAGGGUGGUGGAAUUGGCAGACACGCUAGACUUAGGAUCUAGUGGGUUUUCCCGUGUGGGUUCGAAUCCCACCCCUCGCA
rfam:Natranaerobius trueperi strain DSM 18760 ZB100009, whole genome shotgun sequence.